rnacentral:ncRNA from 1 species
AUUUUCGCCGUGAAUUUUGGUUUUCGCUGCUUAUGGUAGUGAAAUUAAAAGGGAAUCCGGUGUAAAUCCGUAACUGUUCCCGCAACUGUAAGUUUAUGUCAACUAUAUCUAUUGGCGAAUAGAUUUCAAUUGGCACUUCUGUAAAGAAGAUGUUAUUUUCUUCAUAGCCACUUUGAUUUCUGAACAGGUUCAGUAACAUGGGAAGGCGAAAUAACAUAAAACGAGUCAGGAGACCUGCCUUAUUCAAACAACAAUG